GGGGCCAUAGCUCAGCUGGGAGAGCGCUUGCAUGGCAUGCAAGAGGUCGCCGGUUCGAUCCCGGCUGGCUCCACCA
rnacentral:tRNA from 70 species